UUUCCUAUGAAUGAUUUAGAGCCGCUAUGGGUCAGCCAGCCAAUGGCGUCCCUGAGCCUACUUUCUCAUUGGUUACUGGGUAGAAUACACGGACCAGUUUGGGAAUUAAAAUCGCACAGCUGCUCCGAACCUUUUUAAAAUUUCCUUUUUCAAGAUACUUUUCGUUUUUAAAAAGCCUUGAGAUUCCCCGUGGAUUGUGGCAUUGCUGCUAAUCACCAGGAGAGGCCUCCCGAAGAGACCUCUUUUUCCUUCUUCUGCUGCCACAGGAAGUAACUAGACACUGCAAGAAGCAGCAGUCAGGUUCUCCAAGAAAACAGCGAUCCAGUGCUGCGCGCUCCUGAAGAAGGGGUCCUGCCAUGGGAUCCGGUGUUAGCCUCUCACCCCCAGGGCAAGGAUCAUGGAGUUUAGCUCCUGACCUUAAAUGAUCGUUCUCUUCCUAAAGUCUCAGAGAACUUUAGGUAAGACUUUAGUAAACCCUAGCAAGGGUGUAUAGUUAUAGCAAUAACACAA